rnacentral:rRNA from 1 species
GAUGAACGCUAGCGGCAGGCCUAAUACAUGCAAGUCGAGGGGCAGCACGGGUAGCAAUACUUGGUGGCGACCGGCGCACGGGUGCGUAACACGUAUACAAUCUACCUUUAACAGGGGGAUAGCCCGGAGAAAUCCGGAUUAAUACCCCAUAAUAAAUUGACUGGCAUCAGUUGAUUUUGAAAGUUCCGACGGUUAGAGAUGAGUAUGCGACUGAUUAGCUAGAUGGUGAGGCAACGGCUCACCAUGGCGACGAUCAGUAGGGGAUCUGAGAGGAUUAACCCCCACACGGAUACUGAGACACGGAUCCGACUCCUACGGGAGGCAGCAGUAAGGAAUAUUGGACAAUGCCCGCAAGGGUGAUCCAGCCAUGCCGCGUGCAGGAAGACGGCCAUAUGGGUUGUAAACUGCUUUUACACCGGAGAAAACCUUCCCUCGUGAGGGGAGCUGAUAGUAUGGUGAGAAUAAGCAUCGGCUAACUUCGUGCCAGCCGCCGCAGUAACAC